GCGUAGUCGAUGGGAAACGGGUUAAUAUUCCCGUACUUGGUGUUACUGCGAAGGGGGGACGGAGAAGGCUAUGUUGGCCGGGCGACGGUAGUCCCGGUUUAAGCGUGUAGGUGUGUGUUCCAGGUAAAUCCGGUUCACUUUAACACUGAGGCGUGAUGACGAGGCACCACGGUGCUGAAGCAACAAAUGCCCUGCUUCCAGGAAAAGCCUCUAAGCAUCAGGUAACAUCAAAUCGUACCCCAAACCGACACAGGUGGUCAGGUAGAGAAUACCAAGGCGCUUGAGAGAACUCGGGUGAAGGAACUAGGCAAAAUGGUGCCGUAACUUCGGGAGAAGGCACGCUGACACGUAGGUGAAGUGAUUUACUCAUGGAGCUGAAGUCAGUCGAAGAUACCAGCUGGCUGCAACUGUUUAUUAAAAACACAGCACUGUGCAAACACGAAAGUGGACGUAUACGGUGUGACGCCUGCCCGGUGCCGGAAGGUUAAUUGAUGGGGUCAGCGCAAGCGAAGCUCCUGAUCGAAGCCCCGGUAAACGGCGGCCGUAACUAUAACGGUCCUAAGGUAGCGAAAUUCCUUGUCGGGUAAGUUCCGACCUGCACGAAUGGCGUAAUGAUGGCCAGGCUGUCUCCACCCGAGACUCAGUGAAAUUGAACUCGCUGUGAAGAUGCAGUGUACCCGCGGCAAGACGGAAAGACCCCGUGAACCUUUACUAUAGCUUGACACUGAACAUUGAGCCUUGAUGUGUAGGAUAGGUGGGAGGCUUUGAAGCGUGGACGCCAGUCUGCGUGGAGCCGACCUUGAAAUACCACCCUUUAAUGUUUGAUGUUCUAACGUGGACCCGUAAUCCGGGUUGCGGACAGUGUCUGGUGGGUAGUUUGACUGGGGCGGUCUCCUCCUAAAGAGUAACGGAGGAGCACGAAGGUUGGCUAAUCCUGGUCGGACAUCAGGAGGUUAGUGCAAUGGCAUAAGCCAGCUUGACUGCGAGCGUGACGGCGCGAGCAGGUGCGAAAGCAGGUCAUAGUGAUCCGGUGGUUCUGAAUGGAAGGGCCAUCGCUCAACGGAUAAAAGGUACUCCGGGGAUAACAGGCUGAUACCGCCCAAGAGUUCAUAUCGACGGCGGUGUUUGGCACCUCGAUGUCGGCUCAUCACAUCCUGGGGCUGAAGUAGGUCCCAAGGGUAUGGCUGUUCGCCAUUUAAAGUGGUACGCGAGCUGGGUUUAGAACGUCGUGAGACAGUUCGGUCC
rnacentral:rRNA from 1 species